CUUGCUUGGUGGAUCAGUGGCGAACGGGUGAGUAACACGUGAGCAACCUGCCCUGGACUCUGGGAUAAGCGCUGGAAACGGCGUCUAAUACUGGAUAUGAGCCCCUAUCGCAUGGUGGGGGUUGGAAAGAUUUUUUGGUCUGGGAUGGGCUCGCGGCCUAUCAGCUUGUUGGUGAGGUAAUGGCUCACCAAGGCGUCGACGGGUAGCCGGCCUGAGAGGGUGACCGGCCACACUGGGACUGAGACACGGCCCAGACUCCUACGGGAGGCAGCAGUGGGGAAUAUUGCACAAUGGGCGAAAGCCUGAUGCAGCAACGCCGCGUGCGGGAUCACGGCCUUCGGGUUGAAAACCUCUUAUAGCAGGGAACAAC
rnacentral:rRNA from 1 species